AGUGAACGCUGGCGGCGUGCUUAACACAUGCAAGUCGAACGAGAACGGAUUAUAGCUUGCUAUAAUUGUCAGCUAAGUGGCGCACGGGUGAGUAAUGUAUAGGUAAUAUGCCUCUUACUAAGGGAUAACAAAUGGAAACGUUUGCUAAUACCUUAUACUCCUUAUUAACAGAAGUUAAUAAGGGAAAGAUUUAUUGGUAAGAGAUUAGCCUGUAUUGUAUCAGUUAGUUGGUGGGGUAAUGGCUUACCAAGACUAUGACACAUAACUGGUUUGGGAGGAUGAUCAAUCACACUGGAACUGAGACACGGUCCAGGCUCCUACGGGAGGCAGCAGUGGGGAAUAUUGCACAAUGGACGAAAGUCUGAUGCAGCAACGCCGCGUGGAGGAUGACACAUUUCGGUGCGUAAACUCCUUUUAUAUGAGAAGAUAAUGACGGUAUUAUAUGAAUAAGCACCGGCUAACUCCGUGCCAGCCGCCGCAGUAA
rnacentral:rRNA from 1 species